UCAUCCACGUCCAUAUUUUCAUAUCUCUCCCAUUGCAAUAGUCACCUUGAACAUUCACUGUGGAAGAGGGUGUUUGAUUUAAAGUGAGU